rnacentral:RNase_P_RNA from 1 species
GGUAGUAGUGGCAGAAAGCCUAGGGUUAUCAACUCAGGAAAGUCCGCCCACCUAAAACAGGCCACUUUCGGUAAGAAAGAUGGGGAAAUCCCAUGUCCCUGGCUCAGAAACGACACGUCCAUAAUCGAGGAUGAUUGAAUGGCGAAAUGUGCUGAGAAGCGCAUGAGUUAACCCCUUGACGUUGAUUAUGGGAACGAUGAAACGGCGAACACUGGCUGGUGCAAGUCAGAUUUGACGCAUAGUAGAAUGCUUUCACAAGCUAUCGGCAAUCACACGGUUGCUUUGGGCUUGACAAAAGGCGGCUUAUGCACACUCUACC